CAUACUUGUUCAGGCAAACAAAAUAAUUUAAACAACAUAUAUACAUCGUUAUUUUUGUAAGAAAGACUAAGUUUAAAUUUGUGUUUUCUAGAUGUAAAGCUUUUGCUACCUAUUAUAGCUCGUUAAAAUUCAUGUACUAACAACAUUGCGUUAACAAGGCUACUUUAGCUAGUUAGGCCAGAACAAAGAUGACUACACAUUUUAAAUAUAUAAACUAAAAACAAUGUCAACAUAAUAUUGCGUUACACAAAAAGGAAACAUGUACUUACUUAAACAAUGGUAGUCGAUGACUUUGCUAGCUAGCAGACUGUAACUCGCGAUUGAGCGACGAACUGAUGCGAAUGUGUCCAAACCAACAUGGCCGGUCGAUUUUGAGAGUAGCCUAUUUAAAAGCGUCUUGCCGCCGAAGGACCGCGGUUUUUAGACCCAGGCAACCGCCAGAGAAAAUGAAGCAGUCAAAAAAUCUCGCAAGAAAUGGGAGUGACGUAUUCGGCGGCAAACGUUUCAUCCCCGCCAGCAGGACGCACCUAUAGCCGACAGCUAAGGGCCGGCGGCAAAAAGAAGCCUUGCGGAUAUUUUUUGCUAUCUGGGAAACAUAACAGCCUUAAUUUCACUGAAGAUAUUGCAUAUUCAGUAAUGAAACAAUAAUUGAACUGUGCAAAGCUAAUGAUAUGUACAACACACCUCGACACCUUCUAUCCAGAAAUUCAAGAAAGAGGGAACAGAAAUUUGAAAAUCUAACAAAGUGUAUAGUUUAGUUACAGGAUCACAAAUUAAGCAUCACAGCAAUACAUUUUACAUACCAGCUCUGAAGUCUACAGAUGGCUCAACAUUUUCCUGGUUUUCUGGAAUCGAUGCAACUUCUGUAGCAUGUAGUGAUUCAAGUGAAUGUCCUGUUUGUCCCUCUCAACUCUUUUCAAUAUUAUUUUCCUUUUGGCCCAGUAACUAGACAUUGUGACUAACAAUGCAUUUACCUUUGAAGCCAAAACGAUUGACCAACAGUAGGUCUCUUGGGUGAAGAUAACCGGUUAUGCUCUGGCCAAGGUAUCUGCAAGAAAACGAAACAUACUUUCUUAAACGAUGGUAGUCGAUGACUUUGCUAGCUAGCAAAACUGCAACUGAUGCGAAUGUGUGUCCAAACCAACAUUGCCGGUCGAUUUUGAGAGUAGCCUUGUAUUUAAAAGCGUCUUGCCACCGGACGACCGCGGUCCAUUAGACCGAGGCAACCGCCAGAGAAAAUGAAGCAGUAAGACCGGCGGCAUCUCGCAAGAAAUGGGAGUGAUGUAUUCGGCGGCAAACGUUUCAUCCCCGCCUGCAGGACGCACCUAUAGCCAACAGCUUAGGGCUGGCGGCAAAAAAAAGUUGUGCAGAUAUUUUUUGCUAUCUGGGAAUAGCAGGGUAGACGUUCAAUGCAUCUUGAAGUCCCUUCUCUCUUCUACUUGCUAGCUUAAAAUGUGCUCGCAAGCUAAUAAAAUGGAAGAGGAACAUUACUGGGGUGUCCGGUUUCCGAUUAUUUAUGAUGCUUCUUUGGCUUCAUACAGAGAUAUAAUUAAAAAAAAUGUAUAAAUGGAAAAAGAUGUUCAGAGUUAGGUUCAUGCAUAAAGAGUGAUACAUGCAUAAAGUAAAACGUAGUAAAUUGCUAUUUGAACACUGCCAUGGCAUUGUACAUCAUACCUUUUUAGUGGUGGAGUCAUGCAAAUAAUAAAUACUUGUAAUUGCGGAGACUGAUGUUUCCCCUAUACUGACUGGCAUAAAUUGAGAUGACACGCCCUGCCCUAGUGGGCUGUGUGCACUCAAGGGAGGGCUCUGCCACAGAUCGCCAGAGAUCACA
ensembl:lncRNA